AUACGUAGGGUGCGAGCGUUGUCCGGAAUUACUGGGCGUAAAGAGCUCGUAGGUGGUUUGUCGCGUCGUCUGUGAAAUUCCGGGGCUUAACUCCGGGCGUGCAGGCGAUACGGGCAUAACUUGAGUACUGUAGGGGAGACUGGAAUUCCUGGAGUAGCGGUGAAAUGCGCAGAUAUCAGGAGGAACACCGGUGGCGAAGGCGGGUCUCUGGGCAGUAACUGACGCUGAGGAGCGAAAGCAUGGGUAGCGAACAGGAUUAGAUACCCUGGUAGUCCAUGCCGUAAACGGUGGGCGCUAGGUGUAGGGGUCUUCCACGACUUCUGUGCCGUAGCUAACGCAUUAAGCGCCCCGCCUGGGGAGUACGGCCGCAAGGCUAAAACUCAAAGGAAUUGACGGGG
rnacentral:rRNA from 1 species